rnacentral:rRNA from 1 species
AGGAUGAACGCUGGCGGCGUGCCUAAAACAUGCAAGUCAUACGGGCUACCUUCGGGUAGCCAGUGGCAAACGGGUGAGUAACACGUGGGAACGCGCCUUGGGGUGGGGAAUAACGCUGAGAAAUCAGUGCUAAUACCGCAUACGGUCUAACGACUAAAGCAGCAAUGCGCCCCGAGAGCGGCCCGCGACCGAUUAGCUAGUUGGUGGGGUAAUGGCCUACCAAGGCGGUGAUCGGUAGCUGGUCUGAGAGGAUGGUCAGCCACACUGGGACUGCGAACGGCCCAGACUCCUACGGGAGGCAGCAGUUAGGAAUUUUCGGCAAUGGACGAAAGUCUGACCGAGCGACGCCGCGUGGAGGAUGACGCCGUUUCGGGGUGUAAACUCCUUUCUGCGGAAGAUAAUGACGGUACCGCAGGAAUAAGCACCGGCUAACUACGUGCCAGCAGCCGC